rnacentral:rRNA from 1 species
UACGGAGGGGGCUAGCGUUGUUCGGAAUUACUGGGCGUAAAGCGCACGUAGGCGGCUUUGCAAGUCAGAGGUGAAAGCCCGGGGCUCAACUCCGGAAUUGCCUUUGAGACUGCAUCGCUAGAAUUGUGGAGAGGUAAGUGGAAUUCCGAGUGUAGAGGUGAAAUUCGUAGAUAUUCGGAAGAACACCAGUGGCGAAGGCGACUUACUGGACACAUAUUGACGCUGAGGUGCGAAAGCGUGGGGAGCAAACAGG